rnacentral:rRNA from 1 species
GACGAACGCUGGCGGCGUGCUUAACACAUGCAAGUCGAACGCUGAGGCUCAGCUUUUGUUGGGUGGAUGAGUGGCGAACGGGUGAGUAACACGUGAGUAACCUGCCCCCUUCUUUGGGAUAACGCCCGGAAACGGGUGCUAAUACUGGAUAUUCACUGGUCUUCGCAUGGGGGUUGGUGGAAAGGGUUUUUCUGGUGGGGGAUGGGCUCGCGGCCUAUCAGCUUGUUGGUGGGGUGAUGGCCUACCAAGGCUUUGACGGGUAGCCGGCCUGAGAGGGUGACCGGUCACAUUGGGACGGAGAUACGGCCCAGACUCCUACGGGAGGCAGCAGUGGGGAAUAUUGCACAAUGGGCGCAAGCCUGAUGCAGCGACGCCGCGUGAGGGAUGGAGGCCUUCGGGUUGUGAACCUCUUUCGCUCAUGGUCAAGCCGCAACAAUGGUUGUGGUGAGGGUAGUGGGUAAAGAAGCGCCGGCUAACUACGUG